AUUGAACGCUGGCGGCAGGCCUAACACAUGCAAGUCGAACGAGUGGCGGACGGGUGAGUAAUGUCUGGGAAACUGCCUGAUGGAGGGGGAUCACCACUGGAAACGGUCGCUAAUACCGCAUACCAUCAGAUGCGCCCAGACGGGAUUAGCGUGUUGGUGGGGUAACGGCUCACCAAGGCGACGAUCCCUCGCUGGUCUGAGAGGAUGACCAGCCACACUGGAACGGAGACACGGUCCAGACUCCUACGGGAGGCAGAAGUGGGGAAUAUUGCACAAGGGGCGCAAGCCUGAUGCAGCCAUGCGGCGUGUAUGAAGAAGGCCUUCGGGUGGUAAAGUACGUUCAGCGGGGAGGCGUUACCCGCAGAAGAAGCACCGGCUAACUCCGUGCCAGCAGCCGCGGUAAUAC
rnacentral:rRNA from 1 species